rnacentral:rRNA from 1 species
UCUGACUNGAGUGCAGAAGGGGAGAGUGGAAUUCCAUGUGUAGCGGUGAAAUGCGUAGAUAUAUGGAGGAACACCAGUGGCGAAAGCGGCUCUCUGGUCUGUCACUGACGCUGAGGCUCGAAAGCGUGGGUAGCGAACAGGAUUAGAUACCCUGGUAGUCCACGCCGUAAACGAUGAGUGCUAGGUGUUAGGCCCUUUCCGGGGCUUAGUGCCGGAGCUAACGCAAUAAGCACUCCGCCUGGGGAGUACGACCGCAAGGUUGAAACUCAAAGGAAUUGACGGGGGCCCGCACAAGCGGUGGAGCAUGUGGUUUAAUUCGAAGCAACGCGAAGAACCUUACCAGGUCUUGACAUCCCGAUGCUAUUCUUAGAGAUAGGAAGUUACUUCGGUACAUCGGAGACAGGUGGUGCAUGGUUGUCGUCAGCUCGUGUCGUGAGAUGUUGGGUUAAGUCCCGCAACGAGCGCAACCCUUAUUGUUAGUUGCCAUCAUUAAGUUGGGCACUCUAGCGAGACUGCCGGUAAUAAACCGGAGGAAGGUGGGGAUGACGUCAAAUCGUCAUGCCCCUUAUGACCUGGGCUACACACGUGCUACAAUGGUCGGUACAACGAGUUGCGAGCCGGUGACGGCAAGCUAAUCUCUGAAAGCCGAUCUCAGUUCGGAUUGGAGGCUGCAACUCGCCUCCAUGAAGUCGGAAUCGCUAGUAAUCGCGGAUCAGCACGCCGCGGUGAAUACGUUCCCGGGCCUUGUACACACCGCCCGUCACACCACGAGAGUUUGUAACACCCGAAGUCGGUGAGGUAACCUUUUAGGGNCCA